UACGUAGGGACCAAGCGUUGUUCGGAUUUACUGGGCGUAAAGGGCGCGUAGGCGGCUUAACAAGUCACUUGUGAAAUCUCCGGGCUUAACUCGGAACGGCCAAGUGAAACUGUUAUGCUAGAGUGCAGAAGGGGCAAUCGGAAUUCUUGGUGUAGCGGUGAAAUGCGUAGAUAUCAAGAGGAACACCUGAGGUGAAGACGGGUUGCUGGGCUGACACUGACGCUGAUGCGCGAAAGCCAGGGGAGCAAACGGGG
rnacentral:rRNA from 1 species